UGGGGAAUAUUGGACAAUGGAGGGAACUCUGAUGCAGCGACGCCGCGUGAACGAAGAAGGCUUUCGAGUCGUAAAGUUCUUUUAUAUGGGAAGAUAAUGACGGUACCAUAAGAAAAAGCCCCGGCUAACUACGUGCCAGCAGCCGCGGUAAUACGUAGGGGGCUAGCGUUGUCCGGAAUCACUGGGCGUAAAGGGUUCGCAGGCGGAAAUGCAAGUCAGGUGUAAAAGGCAGUAGCUUAACUACUGUAAGCAUUUGAAACUGCAUAUCUUGAGAAGAGUAGAGGUAAGUGGAAUUUUUAGUGUAGCGGUGAAAUGAGUAGAUAUUAAAAAGAAUACCGGUGGCGAAGGCGACUUACUGGGCUCAUUCUGACGCUGAGGAACGAAAGCGUGGGUAGCAAACAGG
rnacentral:rRNA from 1 species